UCCCGCGGCGCAAUGGUCGCGCAAUUUUAGUAUCUAUUGUAUAGUGCGCACUUAUAUGCAAUACAAAAUAAUAUACGAGUGAUUUUGGGUAAUGCCCACUAUUAAACAAACAAAAAUGACCUGAUUCUCAUUUGGGCAACGCAAUAAAUAAUUAUUACUGAACUAACGCAAAACAUGAUUAAUCAUAAAAUUUUCCUCAUUAUAUUUAUUAUAAAUAUCGCAGUUACAUAUUUCAUGUUAGUGCUUCGUGAAGUGCAAUUGUUUAACAAGUAAAGUGGUUAAACUUUGAAGCUCUAAAGGAAAGUGUUAUCAAACGAAUAAAAAGAUGAAGCUUGUAUCUACUGUAUGGUUAUUGCUAUUUUUCGUCGUCUUAAUUGACGCAUUACGUAGCAAGAACCAUCGAACGUUUCAUGCAAACACCUAUUUUUCAAAUUUCCCAGUAUUAAUCUCAAGGUAUAAUGACGGAAACUCAGAAUGUCAAUGCCCAUGCCCUACAAAUCAGAAAUACGAACAGCAAACAAUAACUCUAAUGACACAGAUGCUUACUGAAUUACAACAACUAAGUAAGACACUGCAACAGCCAAUAAAGAUCCAAAUGGACGAGCAAAAGACUAUGGAAGAUAAUUUAAAGAUAGAAGAAGAAUCACAAAAUGACAAUACUAGAAAAACGUUUUUUCCAAACGAAGAAAAUCUCCGAGAUUUUUUUUUUAACGAAGAUGAGGUUACCGGAAAUUCAGAUGGCGAUGUACUUAAUGAAUCUAAAAACACG